UGGGGAAUCUUGGACAAUGGGGGCAACCCUGAUCCAGCCAUGCCGCGUGAGUGAUGAAGGCCUUAGGGUCGUAAAGCUCUUUCGCCUGUGAAGAUAAUGACGGUAGCAGGUAAAGAAACCCCGGCUAACUCCGUGCCAGCAGCCGCGGUAAUACGGAGGGGGUUAGCGUUGUUCGGAAUUACUGGGCGUAAAGCGCACGUAGGCGGACCAGAAAGUUGGGGGUGAAAUCCCGGGGGCUCAACCCCGGAACUGCCUCCAAAACUAUUGGUCUAGAGUUCGAGAGAGGUGAGUGGAAUUCCAAGUGUAGAGGUGAAAUUCGUAGAUAUUUGGAGGAACACCAGUGGCGAAGGCGGCUCACUGGCUCGAUACUGACGCUGAGGUGCGAAAGUGUGGGGAGCAAACAGGAUUAGAUACCCUGGUAGUCCACGCCGUAAAACGAUGAAUGCCAGUCGUCGGGUAGCAUGCUAUUCGGUGACACACCUAACGGAUUAAGCAUU
rnacentral:rRNA from 1 species